rnacentral:misc_RNA from 1 species
UUUCCGUAGGUGAACCUGCGGAAGGAUCAUUAAAGAAUAAACCUGGCUUGAAUUGUAGCUGACUCUCUAGAGUAUGUGCACAUUCUUGUCGUCUUUAUAUCUCCACCUGUGCACCUUUUGUAGAUCAAUGGAUGCAAACUCUCUGAGGCUUGAGCAAAGCCUUCAGGUUAUAUGAGGAUCGACGGAGUCGCAAGAUACCAGCUUUCCUUGGAAGCAUCUUCAUUGUCUAUGUCUUUUCAUAUACACCAAUGAAUGUAAUAGAAUGAAUUUAAUGGGUCUUUGUUACCUAUAAUAAAGUUUAUACAACUUUCAGCAACGGAUCUCUUGGCUCUC